rnacentral:tRNA from 1 species
GGGCCCGUAGCUCAGUUUGGUUAGAGCGCCAGACUCAUAAUCUGGUGGUCGCUGGUUCAAGUCCGGUCGGGCCCACCA